UACAGAGGUCUCAAGCGUUGUUCGGAUUCAUUGGGCGUAAAGGGUGCGUAGGUGGCGCGCUAAGUCAGGUGUGAAAUUUCGGAGCUUAACUCCGAAACUGCAUUUGAUACUGGCGUGCUUGAGGACUGGAGAGGAGACUGGAAUUCAUGGUGUAGCAGUGAAAUGCGUAGAGAUCAUGAGGAAGACCAGUGGCGAAGGCGGGUCUCUGGACAGUUCCUGACACUGAGGCACGAAGGCCAGGGGGAGCAAACGGGG
rnacentral:rRNA from 1 species